rnacentral:misc_RNA from 1 species
GAUGAAGAACGCAUCGAAAUGCGAUACGUAAUGUGAAUUGCAGAAUUCAGUGAAUCAUCGAAUCUUUGAACGCACAUUGCGCCCGCCAGCACUCUGGCGGGCAUGCCUGUUCGAGCGUCAUUUCAACCAUCAAGCCCCAGGCUUGCGUUGGAGCCCUGCGGCUGCCGCAGCCUCCUAAAAGCAGUGGCGGGCUCGCUAUCACACCGAGUGCAGUAGAUUACUCUUCGCUCAGGGCGUGCAGCGGGUUCCGGCCGUGAAACCCCCUACUUUUAAAGGUUGACCUCGGAUCAGGUAGGAAUACCCGCUGAACUUAAGCAUAUCAAUAAGCGGAGGA